GUGAAAGUAAUUUAAAUUUAAAAUUUUUAUUUUGCAAAUAAAAACAUCUAGGAACAAACUCUAGCUUUUACA
rnacentral:tRNA from 1 species